UGGGAAUCUUCCGCAAUGGACGAAAGUCUGACGGAGCAACGCCGCGUGAGUGAAGAAGGUUUUCGGAUCGUAAAACUCUGUCUUUUGGGGCGAACGUGAGUAUGGUGAACAAUCAUAGUCAGUGACGGUACCAAAGGAGGAAGCCACGGCUAACUACGUGCCAGCAGCCGCGGUAAUACGUAGGUGGCAAGCGUUGUCCGGAAUUAUUGGGCGUAAAGAGCGCGUAGGCGGGAUAGUCAGUCUGUUGUAAAGUGCGGGGCUCAACCCCGUGAUGGCAAUGGAAACAGCUAUUCUUGAGUGCAGGAGAGGAAAGUGGAAUUCCCAGUGUAGCGGUGAAAUGCGUAGAUAUUGGGAGGAACACCAGUGGCGAAGGCGACUUUCUGGACUGUGUCUGACGCUGAGGCGCGAAAGCCAGGGGAGCGAACGGGAUUAGAUACCCCGGUAGUCCUGGCCGUAAACGAUGGGUACUAGGUGUGGGAGGUAUCGACCCCUUCCGUGCCGGAGUUAACGCAAUAAGUACCCCGCCUGGGGAGUACGGUCGCAAGACUGAAACUCAAAGGAAUUGACGGGGUCAUAGCUGUUU
rnacentral:rRNA from 1 species